GGACGGGACACGAGCGACGCCGCGCUCGCCCCGCAGCUAGCAUGAUAGCUUCAUCAUCCAAACGCCCCCACCAAACACCCCUCCACAACCCCUGCGGCAACUGCUGGCUGGCAAUGGCACACACACACACAUACACACACUCACACGCUCCGUCAAUGGAACAUGAUCGCCAUUGGUAGCUUCUUCCUGUCAUUCUUUUGCUUCCUUUGCUAAUUCUUGGGUUACUUCCUGACAGCUUCUGUUCAUUGUGUCAUUUCCCUAUUACCGUUUUUUCCCAUGUAUAAUGCGCCCCCAUGGAGCGUGUUUGAAGUGAACAGCAGAGAAGAAAGCGCAUCUGUAAUGGCGGCCUCCGCAUAAUAUCCGGAUAAAAAAAUAAUAAUAAUAAAAUUUAAAAAAUUGUACCCAUGUAUAAUGCGCACCCCAGAUUUUAGGAGAAAUAGUUAAAUUUUGCGCAUUAUACAUGGAAAACAACGGUAUUUAAAAAUUUUUGUACCACCCUAUUCAUUUAAUUGCAUUAUAUUAGAACCCCGUCACUUUUAAUUAUCUUAUAACAGAACCUAAUUGGUUUCCAUUGCGACAUAUCAGUAUCCUAUUAUUUUAAUUGUGUUGUAUCUUUCGAUUGGGCACGUAACUUAUAUCACAAGACUUUGGGUCCCCCUCCGAUCUCGUCUUUAAUUGAUUUCCUCAGUUCGGAGAGCAGCUGUUCGGCAUCCUCCGCGUCUUCAUUCUCCUCCUCCCCGUUGGAUUCCGCAGAGCCAAGAUGGCGGCGUCAUGUAAAUUUGAUGGCGCUGAGGGAAGGCAAAAAGAGAGAAAACAGACUGCUGCACGCCUGAAAUAUUUAAUAAGCUCCACUUUAUGUUACUUCCCGGAGUCUCCUUAAUGCCUCCGCCUCCAUGGCAACCAAUCAAGGGCCGUCAGUGUGUUUGUUGUUUGCCGUUUACUGAGGAAGCUUAAUUAAGAUGCUUUUCAAUUAGCGCUAAUGUUUGUCUCUUGUUUUCUAUCUUUUUAGAAACCUGCUGGACCGAGACACCUUCUCCAAAUCGGAUCCCAUUUGUGUGCUGUACACGCAGGGGAUAGCAAACAGGGAAUGGAGAGAGUUUGGCAGAACAGAAGUGAUCGACAACACACUCAACCCUGACUUUGUGCGCAAGUUUAUCUUGGAUUAUUUCUUUGAGGAGAGGCAGAA